UACGUAGGGGGCAAGCGUUGUCCGGAUUUAUUGGGCGUAAAGAGCGUGUAGGCGGCCAUACAGGUCCGUUGUGAAAACUCGAGGCUCAACCUCGAGACGUCGAUGGAAACCGUAUGGCUAGAGUCCGGAAGAGGAGAGUGGAAUUCCUGGUGUAGCGGUGAAAUGCGCAGAUAUCAGGAAGAACACCCGUGGCGAAGGCGGCUCUCUGGGACGGUACUGACGCUGAGGAACGAAAGCGUGGGGAGCGAACAGG
rnacentral:rRNA from 1 species